rnacentral:tRNA from 1 species
GUUUUUAUAGUUUAAAUAAAACCUUGGUCUUGUAAACCAAAAAUGAAUAUUAUUCUCAAAACA